GAUGAAGAACGUAGCGAAAUGCGAUAAGUAAUGUGAAUUGCAGAAUUCAGUGAAUCAUCGAAUCUUUGAACGCACAUUGCGCCCGCCAGUAUUCUGGCGGGCAUGCCUGUUCGAGCGUCAUUUCAACCAUCAAGCCCCCGGCUUGUGUUGGGGACCUGCGGCUGCCGCAGGCCCUGAAAACCAGUGGCGGGCUCGCUAGUCACUCCGAGCGUAGUAAUACAUCUCGCUCAGGGCGUGCUGCGGGUUCCGGCCGUUAAAAAAGCCUUAUUUACCCAAGGUUGACCUCGGAUCAGGUAGGAAGACCCGCUGAACUUAAGCAUAUCAAUAGCGGAGGA
rnacentral:misc_RNA from 1 species